CGUGUACACUUCUCAACCCCCUGGAGCAUACCCCGAUGCCACACUGCAGAGGCCCCCACCUCUCCACCAAUGCCCCCCACAGUUCACCUGGUCCUCACACAGGCCCUGCCCCACAGAGGCAGACACCCUUCCUGCCUGUAGAGGAUCAAGGCACCCAGUCAGUGCAGGCUGAAAAGUAGCUUGAGGGCUUGCUGUUAGGUGAGGCCAGUCCCUAGGGUGGGUUGCCUGCCCUGGCUGAACUGGAUUAAAUCUGUGCUCUAGUGGGCGUGGCAGACCCCUGGGGUAACAGGCCAAGGGAUGAACCUCAAUGGCCCCCACCUGGGUCUGUAUCAGCACGCCUGGACCAGCUCAGAACAAUGGCCCCCACCAAUGUCUCAGUCUCUGAAGAGGUCCCUCCUCUCACCAAGAUGCCCCCAGAUCCCACCAGAUUAGCCCUGAGCUAACUACUGCCAGUCCUCCUCUUUUUGUUGAGGAAGACUGGCCCUGAGCUAACAUCGUGCCCAUCUUCCUGUACUUUAUAUGUGGGACGCCUACCACAGCAUGGCGUGUCAAGCAGUGCCAUGUCCAUACCCGGGAUCUGAACCGGUGAACCCCAGGCCACCAAGAAGUGGAAAGUGAAAACUUAACCGCCGCACCACUGGGCCGGCCCCUACCAUUUUUUUUUUUUUAAACCCAGUUUAUAGUCAUCCUAGUGGAUGUUUUAUGAGGACUUGAAAAGAAUGCACAUUCUGCAGUUAUUAAAUGUAAGGUUCUAUGAAUGUCAAUUAGGAAAAUUUGGUCAAAUUUUUUUUAGUCUUCCAUAUUUUGUAUCUACUUGUUCUGUCAAUUACUAAAACUGGAGUAUUACAAUUGCUAGUUGUAUUUUUUGUUUCUCUCUUUAGUUUUGUACUUACUACUUUAUGUUUUUAAAUCUAUGUUAUUAGGUGAAUGCUGAUUUAAAAUUGUUAUGUAUUAUUGAUGAAUUGAUCUUUUAUCAUUAUGAAAUAUUCCUCUUUAUAUUUGAUAAUGUUCCUUCUCUUGAAGUCUACAUUGUCUGGUAUUACAGCCACAACAGCAGUUUUAUGUUUGGUAUUUAAACGAUAUAUAUUUCUCCAGUUUUUUACAUUUUAUUUUUCUCUUUGCACUGAAAAUGCAUGUCUUUUAUACAGUGUUGGUUUGGUCUGGCUUCAUUAUCCAGUCUUCCAGUAUCUUCCUUUUAAUUGAAGUGUUUAGGUCUUUCAAAUUUAAUGAAAUUACUUACAUAGUUGUUUUUAAGUUUAAUGUCUUGCUAUUUGUUUUCUGUUUGUCAUGUGUGUUCUUUCUUCUCCUUUUCCUUUUUUUCUCUCUUAUUAUGGAUUAUUGUGAAAUUUUUAUGAUUCCCUAUUUUUUCAAAGAUAACUU
rnacentral:lncRNA from 1 species